rnacentral:tRNA from 1 species
GAGAGAGGUCUGAGACCGUAAGAACUGCUAAUUCUUACCCCGCGAAGUUAGAAUCUUCGGCUCACUCG